CAAUGGCACACAGUUGGUCUGUUUCUCAUAAUAAAUUCAAAAUAAUUUUCACUGUUAGCCUCUUUACAUUGGAGAAGUUACUGGAAGCAGAUUUUUUGUGUCCCUGCAUUCAAACAUGGAAUAUACUUUUGUCUAUGUUAUUCUUUGUCAUUCCAGGCUUUUUGUUUUGCUUUCUCUUUGCAAAAAAGCGUCCGUGCACCUGUUUUCGUGUACUGAAAACCAUUUUCCCAGCAUUGGCUUGGAUAUCUUUGCUGCUGUUUGAUGGAAAAUAUUUUUCAUGCGUAUGUACUGACUGGGAAGGAGAAUAUGUCCCUAUGGACACUGAUACUCUGCAAAAGUGGUGCAAACCACAUGAUACAAAUAUAACAUCAAAUGAAGAAAAGAGGCUUCUCAUUAAAAAGUAUUACAAUAUUUCUCAGACCUUAGCCUUUGUCACUCUUAUUAUCAUCUUGGUGGGAGCAUCUAUCUGGAAGACACGAAAGUGCUGCAAAGACAACACCCAGCCCGACACCAGUGAAAUCACUUCUCUCACAGAUAAACAAAAGGUGGAAGAAACCAUUGUUAACAUCAUAAACUCACUGAAUGAGAAGUACAGACCACAAUUAUCAACCAAUACAACCCAAGCAUAAUGACCCACAUUUUUUGCUAACUCGGAUGCAGCUUAGCAUUUCCUUUUGUCUUAUUUGUUUGUAUGUGGCAAAUACGUGAUUCAGAUUUUUAGUGCAACAUGAUUGAUGUUAGCGAGUAAUAUGUACAAAAUAUGAAAGUUGCCUUUUAAGCAUUGCGUUUGCUUUUUGUAAGGUUUAAUAUCCCUGAAAUUCUGCAGAAUUAAACGCUGUGUGGAAUCAA